rnacentral:lncRNA from 1 species
UUGUGUUUCAGAGCCUGAAAGAGGCUGAAAACAAGCCUGAAAACGAGAAAAGAAAUAGUAGUCAUGCGACUGUGUGUUCUUUCUGUAACUUUAAGAACUGUAACUGCUCUUUCAACGUUAAUGUCAAAUUGAGCAUCCCGAAACAAUUCAGUUUAGUGUAAUGCAGAGAAAGACAGCUGCUGCUUUAAAGGCAGUACUGAUGACUAAAUUGUCAUCUUGAUUUUUUUUUCAAAUACACUCUUAGAAAGGAUGUGUUAAAAAAUGACACAAAAAAUGUGUUGUUACACUAUUAACACAUUUUGUGUGAAUUUUAACAUAACAUGUGUAAGAAAAUGUGUAAACAUUGAAAAAAUGUGUAAAAAGCUUAACACACUUGAGGAUUGAGUCAGGCUGCAUUGACUGUGGGACUUUAAUGUGUUAAAAGCAGGUUGAAGACGGCUCAGAAACAUUUGACGAUUAAAAUUUACAUUUAUUUAUUAAUUAAUUAAUUUAUGGCUGCUGGUGAUUUGUAAAGCCUCUACUCAGCUGUAUUUUUGUUACUAAUUUAUGUUUGUUGUUGUUUAACAAAGAUUUCAGAAGAGCAAAGAUGAGGACUCCUACUUCAUCCUUAAUAGUUUAACUGGAUUGGAAAUCAAAAAAAUCCUGAUUCUUCUUCCACAGAAGUUUCAUUUGUCAGUGUGGGACUGCUGAGUCACCUGAAGAAGUCAUUUCAUUCUCCACGAUGUUGAUUUACAGAAAUGUUUCACAGGAACUGAUUCCUCCCAAAGGGUGAACUAGUGUGUUUCCAUAGAUUAUCUCUGUAUGAAUGUACUUCUUAAAUGAAGGCAAGUGUUUGUCCUGUUUUGUUCCUCAGGUACAGUACGUGAUAUUAAGGGCAGGCGGUCAUCACUGGGGGAAGAAAAUCAAACUGGAAGACUGUGGAACAUGUUAAUAAAUGUUUGUGUUUAUGCCUGUGUCUUUCACAGGAGGCGCUGAAAGGUUUCCCUAAUAGUUCCUGGUGAAUCAAAGCAGGACCAUAAAGGUUGCUGGACUGCAUGAUGGCCUUACCCCUGAGCAGUCAUCCUGUUAAAGGACCAACCAGUUAGAAGCUGUUUUCAAAGUAGCUGAGCAGAUUUCAUCUCAAGUAAGCGAUUAACUGUUUGUUCAUUUGUUCUGCCACUUAAAGAGCAUUUAAGGACGUCUUUUGAGUGUCCAGUUGAAUUAAUUCUACUGGCUCUCAUGGUCAUUUGUGAUUAUGGACAUAUUUUCAUGUAUAUC